ensembl:lncRNA LINC01119 long intergenic non-protein coding RNA 1119
ACAUAAGUGUGAGUGACUCCUUACUGCCGUCCAGGCAGCCUGGGGGCUACGAGGGGCUUCAGAGGUCCUCAUCCCCAGCCUGUAGGCCUGGCCAUACUGGACCCAUGAGAUCAGCCACCCUGUCAGCUGGUACCUCGGGGUCCUACAGUCCUCCUCGCUCAAGCCCUGGUCCUCUAACUCGGAGGUGAUGAGGUGUUGGGCUGGAAGAGACAGGCAGCCAGAUGAUUCCAAUGUACAGCCAAUGAUGAGCAGCUGCUGGGCUGAAGGGACUGGGGCCAUUUUAUACCAGGAUGUUACACAGAAAUGCCUGAAAAGCAAGGAGCAGCUAUCAGAAUGUUUGGUGACACAGCUCCUCCUGUCGUGGUUCCUUCGGCAUGGACUUCACAUUCAGCAGAUCCAUGAGGUGUUCCCUUUCGGAUGAGCUCCAAGGUCUUAAGAGAGCAUCUCUAGUCUGCGUGAGUCCGUCUGAACGACGGUCCUGAGCAAGAACCACCUAUAACCAUCUGCUCAAAAUAACUCAGGGGAAGUCAAAGCUUUCUAUGUGGAAGGUGACUGAAACCACAUACACAGACCACUGCAGCAUUCCUGACAUUAUGGAACUUGGAAAUGAUUCCAAACAUGGCCAUAGCUUGAGUAACAUGUUUUGCUAUGACAAGAACUUGGACUGUAGUCCUUCCCCCUCUCAAGAAUGUGACAUCACACCUUAUCAGAUCCUACGAGUGAGCUACUGACCUCAACCACUGAACUUCAAACUAUGUAAAAACCUAAGGGUUCGACAGACACUUUGAGAGCUUGGGCUGUGGCAAGCUACACUCUGUCAGCCUCUCUUCGACAGGGCCCCACCCUGCUAGCCUUUGAACUUGGAAGCAUCGCCCACAAACACCAGUGCCACCCUCUAGCCUUGAGGGACCAUAUAUGUCUCUGUGAAUCUCCGUUGCAUUGGACAGCUUCUCUCCCAAGAGCUGCUCUUAUAAAAGAGACACACCACAUUUUAAUGAGGCUUCGCUCUCCACAGAGGCCUGCUUCCAUCCUAAUUGAGCAAGUAGACUUUAGUAACUUUGGAACUCACUCACCCCGUGACUAAUACACCCUGUCUACCCAGCGCAUUCCCUGUGAGAUUUGUUCAUGUUGUUCUCCCCCUCCUUAAGCAUUGUGAACCUAGGAAAAAUAUCAUCUCUGUAGGGCAAUAAACCAUGUGAUUUGUGAAAUCA